CAGAGAUCCGCGGAUGCAUGGUGCUUGCUCUUAAUGAGGCGUACACAGCUGAUUCUGCAGUCGUCAAAGACAAGGAUGAGUUGGCCAUAAUACCUCCUAUAAGUGGUGGCUGAAGGCAUCUCAUAUAACCGACUGUAAGGAUGUCCAUAUAUUCUAAACCUUGAAUAGUUAUAGAAGGUUGUUCAUAGUUAUCGUUGAUCUCAUACGCAUGCAAGUACAUCCAUAAAGCCGAAGUCUUGGAUAUCUUUUUUGAUAGGUGAAACCUCGGGUACCAACAAUCGUUAUUGUCGACAUUUGGUAGCUAAUAAAGGAGGAGAACAUAAGCACAUAACUUUAGCUUCUUGGGAGAUGUA
rnacentral:lncRNA from 1 species